rnacentral:tRNA from 1 species
GGGGCCAUAGCUCAGCUGGUAGAGCGCCGCAAUGGCAUUGCGGAGGUCAGCGGUUCGAGCCCGCUUGGCUCCACCA